CCUACGUGUGGCAGCAGUGAGGAAUAUUGGUCAAUGGGCGAGAGCCUGAACCAGCCAAGUCGCGUGAGAGACUACUGCCCUAUGGGUUGUAAACCUCUUUUGUCGGGGAGCAAAAGCCGGACGUGUCCGGCUGUGAGAGUACCCGAAGCAAAAGCAUCGGCUAACUCCGUGCCAGCAGCCGCGGUAAUACGGAGGAUGCGAGGGUUAUCCGGAUUGAUUGGGGUUAAAGGGUUGGCAGGCGGAUUUUUAAGUCAGCGGGGAAAGUUUGGGGCUCAACCAUAGAAUUGCCGUUGAAACUGGAAGACUUGAGUGUGUUUGAGGUAGGCGGAAUGCGUGGUGUAGCGGUGAAAUGCAUAGAUAUCACGCAGAACUCCGAUUGCGAAGGCAGCUUACUAAGCCAUAACUGACACUGAAGCACGAAAGCGUGGGGAUCAAACAGGAUUAGAUACCCCUGUAGUC
rnacentral:rRNA from 1 species